rnacentral:rRNA from 1 species
GAUGAACGCUGGCGGCGUGCCUAAUACAUGCAAGUCGAGCGAAUGGAUUAAGAGCUUGCUCUUAUGAAGUUAGCGGCGGACGGGUGAGUAACACGUGGGUAACCUGCCCAUAAGACUGGGAUAACUCCGGGAAACCGGGGCUAAUACCGGAUAACAUUUUGAACCGCAUGGUUCGAAAUUGAAAGGCGGCUUCGGCUGUCACUUAUGGAUGGACCCGCGUCGCAUUAGCUAGUUGGUGAGGUAACGGCUCACCAAGGCAACGAUGCGUAGCCGACCUGAGAGGGUGAUCGGCCACACUGGACUGAGACACGGCCCAGACUCCUACGGGAGGCAGCAGUAGGGAAUCUUCCGCAAUGGACGAAAGUCUGACGGAGCAACGCCGCGUGAGUGAUGAAGGCUUUCGGGUCGUAAAACUCUGUUGUUAGGGAAGAACAAGUGCUAGUUGAAUAAGCUGGCACCUUGGCGGUACCUAACCCGAAAGCCACGGCUAACUACGUGCCAGCCGCCGCAGUAA